AGCGAACGCUGGCGGCAGGCCUAACACAUGCAAGUCGAACGAAGUCUUCGGACUUAGUGGCGGACGGGUGAGUAACACGUGGGAACGUGCCUUUAGGUUCGGAAUAACUCAGGGAAACUUGUGCUAAUACCGAAUGUGCCCUUCGGGGGAAAGAUUUAUCGCCUUUAGAGCGGCCCGCGUCUGAUUAGCUGGUUGGUGAGGUAAUGGCUCACCAAGGCUACGAUCAGUAGCUGGUCUGAGAGGAUGACCAGCCACAUUGGGACUGAGACACGGCCCAAACUCCUACGGGAGGCAGCAGUGGGGAAUCUUGCGCAAUGGGCGAAAGCCUGACGCAGCCAUGCCGCGUGGAUGAUGAAGGUCUUAGGAUUGUAAAAUCCUUUCACCGGUGAAGAUAAUGACUGUAGCCGGAGAAGAAGCCCCGGCUAACUUCGUGCCAGCAGCCGCGGUAAGAC
rnacentral:rRNA from 1 species